GCAAAAGUGGCUGACUCAUCCCAUACGAGGAAUUCCCAAAGAGAUGACCUGUCAAUUUCUCAUCAGAAACCCUGAAGGCGAGAAGUCAGUGGGUUGAUACAACCAAUACGCUUAAAGGGGCGGGGGGAGAAUAUCAAUGGACAACUUUAUAUCCAAUAAAACCAUCCUUUAACAAUGAGGCAGAAAUGACAUUCCAAGAUUUUAAAAAGCCGAGGGUGUUUAUUACCACUAGACCUUCCCUUCAGGAAAUGUUAAAGAGAGUUCUUCAGGCUGAAAUAAAAGGAAAACAGUAACCUGAAGCCACAUAAAGAAAUUAGGGUAAAGGUAAAUGCAUAGGCAAUUGUGAAAGCUACUACUACUGUAAUUUUGCUUGUAGCCUGAUUUUCUAUAUUCUAAAGAUUUAAAUUACAAAUGCAUUAGAGGAGUUCCUGUCAUGGCUCAGUAGUUAAUGAAUCCAACUAGGAACCAUGAGGCCAGGGAUCAAACCCACAUCCUCAUGGAUGCUAGUCAGGUUCAUUAACCACUGAGCUUCCCCAGGAACUCGACAGUGUUCUGUCAAUUUUCUAUUGCACAGCUAGCAAUCCCACUCUUGGGUAUGUAUCCUGACAAAACGUUCCUUGAAAAAGUUACAUGCACCUGGGAGUUCUAUAUUUGUUUUAAAUGUAUCAUUUGUAUAGAUGUUUUGGCUGUUACUCUGGGUAAGUCAUUUAUAUAACUUAUUGUAGUUCUGUGGUGUGGGCAUUGUAACACAGCAAGUGGAGGUAGCUUACCCUUCCCACUUUAUAAUUUGCUUUAAAAUUACAACUAUAUAUGUUGAAAACCUUAUCAGACAAGGUAGUAAUUUUUGUUUCAACCUGCAAAUACAAGUUAGAAACUCAAGACCAGAAAGAUAUUUGUAUUGUAUUUACUCACAUUUUUACUCUUUCCGUUUUCUUUUCUUUUUCAGAAUAUGAGUUUCCUUUUCCUAUCAUUUCAUUACUGAUUUCAGGACUGCCUUAACCACUCUUAACUAGGUCUCUGGUCUUCUUUUGAAGCUCAGGCUCCUGAAUCAGUCACAAUUUGGCUCUAGGAUGUACAGGGGGCACAGAUUGUAGGUGGUCCUAGAACUCAAACAGAGGGGUCUGAACUUGGCCCAAGAGUCAUACCCCAAGGCGUGAGAGCUCCUGAAACAGGAGAGGGUUUUAUGCAAGCUGUGUUUCAUAGUGAUCAUCUUUAUCUAUGUAAAUUCAUAUUGUGGAUAACUGUUCCUCCGGGAGACCAACUGGAAAGAUUUUAAUAAUUUCAGUAAAUAUUGAAACCCUAAGCCAAGAUGGAGCUCGGGAAAAAAACAGCAACAUGUUGAGACAAUCUAAAGGGAAGAAAUCAAAAUGUUAUAGGAGUUUGAUUUUGAAAAAGAAUCAGGAGGCAUUUCUGGCCCCUACUGUCAUUUCUAGGAAAAGUUGUGUUAGAUCCAAUCCAUGCUAAUUACUUGUUCUCUCCUAAUUGUGAAAAGUGUAUGGAAAGAAUGGCACACAAAGUCCUUUUCAGAAACUGAAGGCAUUGUGUUAUUAGCCAAAUCCCCUUUGAUUAAAAGAAGUACAUGUUAUUCGUCCUCAAUGUGGGAUGAACACCGAACAUUUACAAACUAUCAGAAAGGAGGUCUUUAUUGCUUUACUGGCCAAUCAAGUCCUGAAAAAGCCUGAGAGGGUGGUCAGGGUUUUGAACUAAGUGCUGGAAAAAUGGCCUUGGCCUUUUCUUCCUGGAAAUGUCCCACUCAACCUUGACUGCGAGGUUGUAUGACACGAGAAAGCACAGACACUGUGAAGAGAGAGACCACGCCCUUGAAGAAUAAAGUCCAUGACUGUGACCUUUCACUUGCAUGACUGGAAACUGUGCCUCUGCAAGUGCAGAGCCAGCUGCUGCUCACAGCACUCAGUGCAGUCCAUGUGCCUUGCUGCAGGUCAGCCACCGUAUGUGAAGGAUGCUGGGUGAGGACCCUGGGGGGAGGGGGGAGUCUCUGACAUCACUUGAGGGACCCUAUGCCACACACCAAGGUCCACACAGCAUCUUGUGAGCAGAAAUGGGGAAAGAGGAGAGACUUCAAGGGGCUGCAAAGGU
rnacentral:lncRNA from 1 species